rnacentral:rRNA from 1 species
GGAAGGUUCAUACGUUAAUAGCGUAUGGAUUUGACGUUAGCGACAGAAGAAGCACCGGCUAACUCCGUGCCAGCAGCCGCGGUAAUACGGAGGGUGCGAGCGUUAAUCGGAAUUACUGGGCGUAAAGCGCAUGCAGGUGGUUCGUUAAGUCAGAUGUGAAAGCCCGGGGCUCAACCUCGGAACUGCAUUUGAAACUGGCGGACUAGAGUACUGUAGAGGGGGGUAGAAUUUCAGGUGUAGCGGUGAAAUGCGUAGAGAUCUGAAGGAAUACCAGUGGCGAAGGCGGCCCCCUGGACAGAUACUGACACUCAGAUGCGAAAGCGUGGGGAGCAAACAGGAUUAGAUACCCUGGUAGUCCACGCCGUAAACGAUGUCUACUUGGAGGUUGUGGCCUUGAGCCGUGGCUUUCGGAGCUAACGCGUUAAGUAGACCGCCUGGGGAGUACGGUCGCAAGAUUAAAACUCAAAUGAAUUGACGGGGGCCCGCACAAGCGGUGGAGCAUGUGGUUUAAUUCGAUGCAACGCGAAGAACCUUACCUACUCUUGACAUCCAGAGAAGCCAGCGGAGACGCAGGUGUGCCUUCGGGAACUCUGAGACAGGUGCUGCAUGGCUGUCGUCAGCUCGUGUUGUGAAAUGUUGGGUUAAGUCCCGCAACGAGCGCAACCCUUAUCCU